UACGUAGGGGGCAAGCGUUGUCCGGAAUCAUUGGGCGUAAAGAGCGUGUAGGCGGCUCGAUAAGUCUGCUGUGAAAGUCCAGGGCUCAACCCUGGAAGGCCGGUGGAAACUGUCGGGCUAGAGUCCGGAAGAGGCGAGUGGAAUUCCCGGUGUAGCGGUGAAAUGCGCAGAUAUCAGGAGGAACACCGAUGGCGAAGGCAGGUCUCUGGGCCAUAACUGACGCUGAGAAGCGAAAGCAUGGGGAGCGAACAGG
rnacentral:rRNA from 1 species